rnacentral:rRNA from 1 species
AUUGAACGCUGGCGGCAGGCCUUACACAUGCAAGUCGAGCGGAGCGGCGGACGGGUGAGUAAUGCCUAGGAAUCUGCCUGGUAGCGGGGGAUAACGACCGGAAACGGGCGCUAAUACCGCAUACUAUCAGAUCAGCCUAGGUCGGAUUAGCUAGUUGGUGGGGUAAAGGCCUACCAAGGCGACGAUCCGUAACUGGUUUGAGAGGAUGACCAGGCACACUGGAACUGAGACACGGUCCAGACUCCUACGGGAGGCAGCAGUGGGGAAUGUUGGACAAUGGGGGAAAGCCUGAUCCAGCCAUGCCGCGUGUGUGAAGAAGGUCUUCGGAUUGUAAAGCACUUUAGGCUGGGAAGCGUUACCAGCAGAAUAAGCACCGGCUAACUACGUGCCAGCAGCCGCGGUAAUAC